UACGUAGGUGGCGAGCGUUGUCCGGAUUUACUGGGCGUAAAGAGCGCGCAGGCGGUCGUGCAAGUCGCGUGUGAAAGCCCCCGGCUCAACUGGGGAGGGUCACGCGAUACUGCUCGACUUGAAGGCAGGAGAGGGAAGUGGAAUUCCCGGUGUAGUGGUGAAAUGCGUAGAUAUCUGGAGGAACACCGGUGGCGAAGGCGGCAUCCUGGACCGGCAUUGACGCUGAGGCGCGAAAGCCAGGGGAGCAAACGGG
rnacentral:rRNA from 1 species